rnacentral:rRNA from 1 species
GUUUGUACCCAAAAACAUUUUAGCCAACCCGUAAGGGAGGCGAAUGUCUAAGGUAUGGAGAGUGAUUGGGGUGAAGUCGUAACAAGGUAGCUGUAGGUGAACCUGCAGAAGGAUCA